rnacentral:rRNA from 1 species
CAAUGGGGGAACCCUGAUGCAGCGACGCCGCGUGGAGGAAGAAGGUCUUCGGAUUGUAAACUCCUGUUGUUGAGGAAGAUAAUGACGGUACUCAACAAGGAAGUGACGGCUAACUACGUGCCAGCAGCCGCGGUAAAACGUAGGUCACAAGCGUUGUCCGGAAUUACUGGGUGUAAAGGGAGCGCAGGCGGGAAGACAAGUUGGAAGUGAAAUCUAUGGGCUCAACCCAUAAACUGCUUUCAAAACUGUUUUUCUUGAGUAGUGCAGAGGUAGGCGGAAUUCCCGGUGUAGCGGUGGAAUGCGUAGAUAUCGGGAGGAACACCAGUGGCGAAGGCGGCCUACUGGGCACCAACUGACGCUGAGGCUCGAAAGUGUGGGUAGCAAACAGGAUUAGAUACCCUGGUAGUCCAAGGGCGAAUUC